UACGGAGGGGGCAAGCGUUAUUCGGAAUUAUUGGGCGUAAAGCGUCCGCAGGUGGCCUAUCAAGUCUGCUGUCAAAGACCGGGGCUUAACCCCAGAAAGGCAGUGGAAACUGAAAGGCUAGAGGAUGGUAGGGGCAGAGGGAAUUCCCAGUGUAGCGGUGAAAUGCGUAGAGAUUGGGAAGAACACCGGUGGCGAAAGCGCUCUGCUGGGCCAUGACUGACACUCAGGGACGAAAGCUAGGGGAGCGAAUGGG
rnacentral:rRNA from 1 species